UACAGAGGUCCCAAGCGUUGUUCGGAUUCACUGGGCGUAAAGGGUGCGUAGGUGGUGAGGUAAGUCCGAUGUGAAAGCUCAGAGCUUAACUGUGAAACUGCAUUGGAUACUAUCCGGCUCGAGGAAUGGAGGGGAGACUGGAAUACUUGGUGUAGCAGUGAAAUGCGUAGAUAUCAAGUGGAACACCAGUGGCGAAGGCGAGUCUCUGGACAUUUCCUGACGCUGAGGCACGAAAGCCAGGGGAGCAAACGGG
rnacentral:rRNA from 1 species